ACUUAAAUAGCUUAAUUAUAAAGUAUAAUAUUGAAGAUAUUAGGAUAAGUUUAACUUUUUAAGUA
rnacentral:tRNA from 1 species